GUAGAGGGCCAGGACUUAGGGACUCGGGGACGAUUGCAGAUGGCUACAAUGCAUGCGAACCAGCAGCUGUACUAUCCUCCAGCCACUCGAGAUGACUUUUGCCCCGACAAUCGAUGUGGCGACAGGCUUCGUCGGGGGCUCCGAGCUUCAUGGAAACAGGCUUUGUAGCGACGACUUUGGUUGGGGCAAGGAGGCAGAGCAGAGCAACACAUGGAAGAUUUUGAAA